rnacentral:rRNA from 1 species
UACAGAGGGUGCAAGCGUUGCUCGGAAUUACUGGGCGUAAAGCGUGCGCAGGCGGUUUCGUAAGACAGACGUGAAAUCCCCGGGCUCAACCUGGGAACUGCAUCCAAAACUACUGAGCUAGAGUACGGUAGAGGGUAGUGGAAUUUCCUGUGUAGCGGUGAAAUGCGUAGAUAUAGGAAGGAACACCAGUGGCGAAGGCGACUACCUGGACUGAUACUGACACUGAGGUGCGAAAGCGUGGGGAGCAAACAGGAUUAGAUA